UUAUGGCCAUAUCACGUUGAAGCACUAAAUUCCGUACGAUCACCGAAAUUAAGCAACGUCGAGACUGGUCAGUACGGAGAUGGGUGAGCGCCUAGGAAUACCAAGUACUGUAAG